rnacentral:rRNA from 1 species
AUGCUUCCAGCUGGUCAGAUUCCUACCUGGAGGGAUUUCACCGAGGCUUUUCGUGAGCACCACAUUCCUCAGGUUCUCAUUGACCGCAAGAGGGAAGAGUUCUGUAGUUUUACCCAGGGUAAGCUGCAUGUUGAUGCUUAUAGUAGAGAGUUUGGAAGCCCCGCCCGCUAUGCUACAGAAGAAGUGUCCACAGACGCUAAGAAGCAGGUUAGGUUCCAGAAGGGUCUCAACCCUAAGUCGCGUCGUGAUCUCCACCUGCAUCAUUGUGAUACUUUCCAGGCUCUUGUGAACAAGGCCAUUAAUGCAGAGACAACUCAGCUCACUUACGAGGAGUCUCGUAAGCACAACCGUGAUCUGGGUUCUUCCUCCCGCUCUGGCUCUCAGAAGCGACGGAUUUGGAUUCCGAACUCGGCUCUUCCACCUGGAUAUGCACCGAGGCCAUCCGAUGUGGCGCCUCACCCAACUCAGCAACGUGCUCCACCCAGGCCUAUUAGUGGACCACUUGCCAAUGUAGGUCCACGUCCUACCUCAGGAACUUGCUUCACCUGCGGAGAACCAGGACAUUAUGCACGUGACUGCCCUCAGUCCAGUUAUGCUCCACCCCAGUCUGAGAGGUCUGUUGGCCGUGAAAAGCCAUCAGGCAAGAUGAUCAGUACCAAGCCAGCCUCCAUUGAACGAGCAUGUGUGCACCAUGUCUCAGCUUCAGAAGCUCAAGAUGAUCCCGACGUCGUACUGGGUAUGCUUCUUGUCAAUUGUCACCCAGCUUCAGUUCUGUUCGAUAUUGGAGCAUCCCACUCCUUCAUAUCUGAAGGUUACACUCGGUUGCACGACAUGUCAUUUUGUGAUAUGCCGACUCCACUAAUAAUCCAGACUCCUGGUUCCAAAUGGCAAACCUCCAAGGUAAGCCAUGGUAAUGAAAUCCUUAUUGACAGACUGGUAUUCCUUGCUUCUUUGAUAUCUCUCAAGUCUUCAGAUAUUAACAUAAUCUUGGGUAUGGACUGGAUGACAGCUCAUCAUGCCAAGAUCGAUUGUUACACUAGAUCUGUUCAACUUACACAUCCAUCUGGCAAAAUAGUCACUGUCUCCACUAGAGUUGCAAGGCGUCAACUCUAUUCUCUUAAUGCCAGUCCUCUUCUAGACCUUGAAGAUAUUCCGGUAGUCCGUGACUUCCCGGAUGUCUUUCCAGAAGAACUACCAGGUGUCCCACCUGACAGAGAUGUAGAGUUUGUCAUAGAACUUAUCCCAGGAACUGUUCCAAUCUCUAGGAGACCAUACAAGAUGGCACCUUUGGAGUUAGCCGAGAUUAAGAAACAGCUUGAUGAGUCCUUGCAAAAGGGUUUCAUCCGUCCCAGUUCUUCUCCUUGGGCUUGUCCUGUCCUCUUCGUCAAGAAGAAGGAUGGUAUGGAUCGGAUGGUUGUAGAUUAUCGUCUCGUUAAUUUGGUCACGAUAAAGAACAAGUAUCCGCUCCCCAGGAUCAACGACCUGUAUGAUCAGCUCGCUGGAUCCUUAGUCUUUUCCAAGAUGGAUUUGAGGUUAGGCUACCACCAAAUCAAGAUCAGAAAUGGGGACAUCCCCAAAAUGGCCUUUGUCACUCGUUAUGGUCAAUACGAGUACACCGUGAUGUCUUUCAGCCUAACCAAUGCUCCAGCUACUUUCUCCCGCUUGAUGAACUCGAUCUUUAUGGAGUACCUAGAUAAGUUCGUCAUGGUUUAUCUCGAUGAUAUUCUUAUUUACUCGAAGAAUGAGGAAGAGCAUGCCGAACAUCUUAGACUAGUGUUAGAAAAACUCAGAGAGCACCGCCUUUAUGCCAAGUUCUCCAAGUGUGAAUUUUGGUUGCCAGAAGUGACCUAUCUAGGCCACGUGAUCUCUGGUAAGGGCAUUGCUGUCAAUCCCGAGAGAGUCAAAGCCGUUCUCGAUUGGACUCCACCCGAAACGGUCAAACAAGUUAGGAGUUUUCUUGGUCUAGCCAGUUAUUGUCGCCGCUUCGUUGAAAACUUCUCCAAAGUGGCCAAACCCCUCACAGAGCUUCUCAAGAAAAAUAAAAGGUUUGAGUGGACCCCACAGUGUGAGCAUAGUUUUCAGGAACUGAAAAGACGCCUGACUUCUGCGCCCAUACUCGUGCCAUCGGAUUUCACUAAAGACUUUGUUAUCUAUUGCGACGCUUCGCGUCAAGGACUAGGUUGCAUUCUUAUGCAGGAUCAUCAUGUGAUUGCCUAUGCAUCUCGACAGUUGCAUCCACAUGAGGAAAAUUAUCCUACACAUGAUCUGGAGCUUGCAGCCAUAGUCUAUGCACUUAAGACUUGGCGACAUUACCUUCUUGGUAACCGUUGCAAAAUCUACGCUGACCAUCAGAGUCUGAAGUAUAUCUUCACCCAACCGGAUCUGAAUCUCAGACAGAGACGUUGGUUGGAGUUGAUCUCGGAUUACGACUUAGGAAUCACCUACACCCCAGGCAAAGCCAAUGUCAUGGCUGAUGCGUUAAGUCAUAAAUCCUAUUGCAACAACCUCAUGUUGCAACAAUGUCAACCACCCCUCCAUGAGGAAUUCUGUAAGCUUAACCUUCACAUAGCUCCUCGUGGUUCCCUUUAUACCUUGGUGGCGAAACCUACCCUUACGGAUCAGAUCAUAGAGGCUCAGAAGCAUGAUAUGGGAAUUUCCCGAAUCAAGAAGAAUAUUUCCAAGGGAUUUGCUGGCUGUUUCUCUAUGGAUGAACGAGGUGUUGUUUACUUUGGAAACCGUUUGGUGGUUCCCAAAUAUCAACAGAUGCAGAAACUGAUCCUUAAGGAGGCCCAUGAAUCCCCUCUCACGAUUCAUCCCGGUAGUACAAAGAUGUAUCAGGACCUACGCCAGAGGUUCUGGUGGACUAGGAUGAAGAGAGAAAUCGCUCAGUAUAUUGCCAACUAUGAAGUUUGUCGUCGCGUUAAGGCAGAGCAUCAGAGACCUGCUGGCACCCUUCAACCUUUAGCUAUUCCCGAGUGGAAAUGGGACAAAGUUGGUAUGGACUUCAUCACCGACUUUCCCAGGACCAAGAAAGGAAAUAAUGCUAUCUUCGUAGUCAUUGUCCGUCUUUCCAAAGUGGCUCACUUCCUACCUGUUCGAGAGAGUAUCACUGCUAGUCUGCUCGCUGACUUAUAUAUCUCCCGGAUAGUGUCACUCCAUGGUGUUCCACUAGAGAUCAAUUCAGACCGUGGCAGUCUUUUCACCUCUCAUUUCUGGGAAAGUUUCCAGAAUGCCAUGGGAACUCAUCUUUCUUUUAGUACUGCUUUCCACCCCCAGUCAAGUGGUCAGGUGGAAAGGGUCAACCAAAUUCUUGAAGACAUGCUUAGAGCUUGCGUUAUCUCAUUCGGUAUGGAUUGGGAGAAAUGUCUUCCCUUUGCCGAGUUUGCUUAUAACAAUAACUACCAAUCCAGUCUUAAGAAAGCACCCUUCGAGAUUUUGUAUGGACGAAGAUGUCGAACACCUUUGAACUGGUUAGAAACCAGUGAAAGACAAUUCUUUGGACCGGAUAUGAUCCAUGAGGCAGAAGAGCAAGUUCGCAUCAUUCGUGAGAAUUUAAAAACAGCCCAAUCUCGUCAAAAGAGCCAGUAUGACCGUCGUCAUAAGGAAGUGGCUUAUGAAGUUGGCGACAAGGCUUACCUUCGGGUUACUCCUUUGAAGGGUACCCAUUGUUUCGGUAUCAAGGGCAAGUUGGCUCCUCGUUACAUUGGUCCUUUUCGCAUUCUCGCUAAACAAGGAGAGGUUGCCUACUAG